rfam:Pteropus alecto contig11522, whole genome shotgun sequence.
AUCUACGGCCAUGCCGCCCUGAACACACCCAAUCUUGUCUGAUCUCAGAAACUAAGCAAGGUCGUGCCUGGUUAAUACUUGAAUGGAAGACCACCUAGGAAGAGUAGGUGCUGUAGGAU